GCUUAAAACCUAGCUCUCAUUACUCAUAUGAAAAACUACUUUGUCUGCCACUUAAUAAAACAUUUUCCACAUUUAGUAAAGGCGAUUAAAAAAUAAAUUGAAGCUAUAACAUUAGUACCGCAAGGGAAAGGUGAAAUAAAAAUGAAAUAAAGCCUAAGCAUAAAAUAGCAGAGACUCAACCUCGUACCUUUUGCAUCAUGGUCUAGCUAGUCCAACCAAGCAAAACGAGCUUUAAGUUUGACACCCCGAAACUAAGCGAGCUACUUCAAAACAGCUAAAAGAGCCAACCCGUCUCUGUUGCAAAAGAGUGGGAAGAUUUUCAAGUAGAGGUGAUAGACCUACCGAGCUUAGAGAUAGCUGGUUACUCAGGAAAAGGAUUUUAGUCCUACCUUAAGUUUAUUCUUAAAUCUUAAUACUGCCAAAAACUUAAGAGCUAUUCAAAUAAGGUACAGCCUAUUUGAAACAGGAUACAACCUACACCACCGGGUAAUGAACAUAUUAUUGUAACAAAGUGGGCCUAAGAGCAGCCACCUUCAAAAAAGCGUUAAAGCUUUAUUACAAUUCAACACCAAUCUCAUAAAUUUACCAAAACCCUUAUCCAGUACUGAGCGACUUCAUAAAAUUAUGAAGAACCAUAUGCUAGAACUAGUAACAAGAAGAAGACCUUCUCCAAAAUGUAUGUAUAAGCCAAAAUGAACUACUCAUUGGCACUUACCGCUUAUGAACCCAUAGUAGUAACUGUCAAGAAAAAUCUACUACCCAUAGCGUUAACCUUACACAAGAACAUUUAUGAAAAGAUUAAAAGAAAAGGAAGGAACUCGGCAAAUAAUAACCCCGCCUGUUUACCAAAAACAUCGCCUCCUGAACCAACCAUAGGAGGUCCAGCCUGCCCAGUGACAAAGUUAAACGGCCGCGGUACCCUAACCGUGCAAAGGUAGCGCAAUCACUUGUUCUUUAAAUGAGGACUAGUAUGAAUGGCAUCACGAGGGUUAUGCUGUCUCCCUGAUCUAAUCAGUGAAACUGAUCUUCCCGUGAAGAAGCGGGGAUAAAAAUAUAAGACGAGAAGACCCCAUGGAGCUUCAAACUCAACAUCAACUGCCCACACUAUACAACCUAUUAAACACGCAGACCUGAUUGUUAGUUUUCGGUUGGGGUGACCGCGGAGUAAAACAAAACCUCCACGAUGAACGGGGCUAGCCCCCUAAUCCAAGAGCUACAGCUCUAAGAAUCAACAAACUGACAGAAUUUGAUCCAAUUCUUUGAUCAACGAACCAAGUUACCCUGGGGAUAACAGCGCAAUCCAUUUCAAGAGCUCAUAUCGACAAAUGGGUUUACGACCUCGAUGUUGGAUCAGGGUAUCCCAGUGGCGCAGCCGCUACUAACGGUUCGUUUGUUCAACGAUUAAAACCCU
rnacentral:rRNA from 1 species